rnacentral:rRNA from 1 species
AGUGAACGCUGGCGGUAGGCCUAACCCAUGCAAGUCGAACGGCAGCACAGUGAGAGCUUGCUCUUACGGGUGGCGAGUGGCGGACGGGUGAGGAAUACAUCGGAAUCUACUUUUUCGUGGGGGAUAACGUAGGGAAACUUACGCUAAUACCGCAUACGACCUACGGGUGAAAGCAGGGGAUCUUCGGACCUUGCGCGAUUGAAUGAGCCGAUGUCGGAUUAGCUAGUUGGCGGGGUAAAGGCCCACCAAGGCCACGAUCCGUAGCUGGUCUGAGAGGAUGAUCAGCCACACUGGAACUGAGACACGGUCCAGACUCCUACGGGAGGCAGCAGUGGGGAAUAUUGGACAAUGGGCGCAAGCCUGAUCCAGCCAUACCGCGUGGGUGAAGAAGGCCUUCGGGUUGUAAAGACCUUUUGUUGGGAAAGAAAAGCAGCAGGUUAAUACCCCGCUGUUCUGACGGUACCCAAAGAAUAAGCACCGGCUAACUUCGUG